rnacentral:tRNA from 1 species
GCCUCCUUGGCAUAGUGGUACUGCGUCUCACUCGUAUUUUCGACAUGAGAAGAUCCUCGGUUCGAUUCCGAGAGGAGGCA